GGCAGGUACCUGGGAGUGUCUGUUACAGCUUCUCUCCCUGAGGCAGAGAAACCAUAUAACACCUGACUUUUCCAGACAAAGACAAAGUACUUUCAGGCACCAUGAACUGCCCGUGGUGCGGGUACAAAGAAUCCGGUCUAGGACCUGAGCAGUCACAGCACAAAUGUAGACAAUGUCCUCGGAGCCGCUGGGAGGAAGCAGGGCCGGGUAGACAGAGCUCAGAGCAUCUUGGGAGCAUUUUGACAACAGCUGUUGAUGGGAGAAGGAAUGUAUGCCUGCUGCCUCCAAUGCUUCCACGACAACCCUGAUGUGGCCAGCACUGAUCUCAUCUGACACCUGAAGACGUGGGGGCCCUGGGAGAUUUCUGGCCCCAGGUCACAAAGUUAGGAAAAGUCAUAACUGGUACCCAAACUGAGGUCCAAUAAUCUCAAAGCUGGAGAGCCCAGAGGAGAGAAGUUUGCGGGUGAUCUUCUUGUUCCCCUGAAAUCCACUCAAAUAGGCAGUUCUUCUGUUUGUGAAUCCAGGUGAGGAGCAGUGGGAGAUCAUGCUGUGAAGUUCAUCUCCCUGCUUCACCUCUGCCCACAUCCUUUACUCUUUUUUUUCUACCCAGAAAUGCAAGGUUCUUGUUCCAAGUUGGUUGUCGUCUGCCCCCAGCUCAGCCUCUGCCUGGGUCAGUGCCAAGUAAACAGCAUGGGUCUGGCCAGCUGAGAAGAUGCCACAGUGGUUGCAGGAAGGUGUCCUGUGUCACACCUGUCUUCUGAGGUAGGUGACAUUGGGGUGGCAAGGUAAGGGCAUUGAUGUUCUGCAGACACCUGCAGGAGGCUGGAAAGGAAGACCUGAGCUAGCACACUGCUUGCUGAUCAC
rnacentral:lncRNA from 1 species